CACGUAGGGCGCGAGCGUUGUCCGGAAUUAUUGGGCGUAAAGAGCUCGUAGGCGGCCUGUUGCGUCCGCUGUGAAAGCCCGGGGCUUAACCCCGGGUCGGCAGUGGAUACGGGCAGGCUAGAGGUAGGUAGGGGAGAAUGGAAUUCCCGGUGUAGCGGUGAAAUGCGCAGAUAUCGGGAGGAACACCGGUGGCGAAGGCGGCACUCUGGGACGGUACUGACGCUGAGACGCGAAAGCGUGGGGAGCGAACAGG
rnacentral:rRNA from 1 species